GGGGGCGUAGGAGAGGAGGAUANUUAUUGAUUAUGUAGAGUUUGGUUGUAGCUGGCCCCUAAUUAACUUGGGGGCAUGUGCACACCUUUCUCUUUCAUCCCAUACACACCUGUGCACCUGUGAGACAGAUGUUUUCUAGGGGGGAAGGAACUUUAUUGGACCUACUCUCCUUGGACUCUCUGUCUACUUACUCUAUAUAAACUCUUUUUAUUUUAAAAUGAGUGUAGUGGAUGUCACACCUCUAAUACUAAUUUUCAACCACAGAUCUCGUGGCUCUCACAUCUAAGAAAAACGCCGCAAAGUGCGAUAAAUAGUGAGAAUUGCAAAACUCAGUGAAUCAUCAAAUCUUUGAACGCACCGUGCGCUCCGUGAUAUUCCGUGGAACGUGCCUGUUAGAAUAUCAAGAACUCUUCAAAGUCAAACCUUGUGAUAACUCAAGUGGCUCCGCUUUGAUAGUGGAGGUCUAGUGCAUCUUCACACGUGCUCCUCUUUGUACAUUAUCUGGAUCUCAGUGAUAUGCGUGGCCCCACUCAGCGAGAUAAUAUAUCUAUCUCAGAAGACACCGUGUUAAAAAGGUGUGGCCAAGGUAAAUGCAUAAGAACCUCUUCUAACACUCCAUUCACGUGGACAAAUAUUAAUUUUAAGAUCAGAUCUCAAAUCGUGUAAGACUACCCGCUGAUCUUACGCAUACAAANNGCGGGAAAAAAAA
rnacentral:rRNA from 1 species